AUUGAACGCUGGCGGCAGGCCUCACACAUGCAAGUCGAGCGGAGCGGCGGACGGGUGAGUAAUGCCUAGGAAUCUGCCUGGUAGUGGGGGAUAACGUCCGGAAACGGGCGCUAAUACCGCAUACUAUCAGAUGAGCCUAGGUCGGAUUAGCUAGUUGGUGGGGUAACGGCCUACCAAGGCGACGAUCCGUAACUGGUCUGAGAGGAUGAUCAGUCACACUGGAACUGAGACACGGUCCAGACUCCUACGGGAGGCAGCAGUGGGGAAUUUUGGACAAUGGGCGAAAACCUGAUCCAGCCAUGCCGCGUGUGUGAUGAAGGUCUUCGGGUUGUAAAGCACUUUAAGUUGGGAAGCGGUACCAGCAGAAUAAGCACCGGCUAACUUCGUGCCAGCAGCCGCGGUAAUUC
rnacentral:rRNA from 1 species